rnacentral:sRNA from 1 species
GCUGGGCAUGGUGGCACAUGCCUGUAAUCCUAGUGGCAUGGGAGGCUGAGGUAGGAGGAUGGAGAGUUCAAAGCCAGCCUCAG